GUAGGGAGCAAGCGUUGUCCGGAUUUACUGGGUGUAAAGGGUGCGUAGGCGGCUUUGCAAGUCAGAUGUGAAAUCUAUGGGCUCAACCCAUAAACUGCAUUUGAAACUGUAGAGCUUGAGUGAAGUAGAGGCAGGCGGAAUUCCCCGUGUAGCGGUGAAAUGCGUAGAGAUGGGGAGGAACACCAGUGGCGAAGGCGGCCUGCUGGGCUUUAACUGACGCUGAGGCACGAAAGCGUGGGUAGCAAACAGGAUUAGAUACCCUGGUAGUCCACGCUGUAAACGAUGAUUACUAGGUGUGGGGGGUCUGACCCCUUCCGUGCCGGAGUUAACACAAUAAGUAAUCCACCUGGGGAGU
rnacentral:rRNA from 1 species